AUUCAUGUUUAGUGGAAUGUGAAUGUAGUGACAGGAACAUUGUCCUCAACUGAGCUUUCCUUCUUCCACUCGUGCUUGAAGGGGGAAGAAUGGGAGAAAACAUGACCAAUUCCUCUGUUCCAAUAAAGGUGUCUAUCCCAGUGUUCUCAUUCAACUUGUGCCCAGAGUAACAGCCUACCUCUUGUUAGAAAAGCGAUGUUUCCAGACCAGAGCCGAUGUGCCUUUGAAAACAUGGUGCAAUUACAUGGUGAAUCCAUAUGGGCAUAGCCAGUCUCAACACUGCCUGCGAGGGCUCUUCGGGGGUCGGAUCACAAGUCACACCGCGGAGCUGAGGAUGAUCUUCAGGAAUGCCAGUAGAUGGCAGAGACUUCCAACACACUGGGGAGAUUCCUCUCC